AACAUUGGGAAUAAAAGUAAGGAAAAAAAUACAAAAGGCAAAAAUUGGAGAAUGCAGGAUACUUUUUCUAUGCAAAGUAAUUGAAGAUGCUGUUUCUAGAGCCAAGAACAAGGGCAAAAGGCAGCUUGAAAUUAUACAUUCUGAUAUAUGUGGACCUAGAGAGCCAGAGACAUGUAACAGAAAUAGCAGCAGAAGCAAAGUGGAAUAACAUACAGAUUUAAAUGCAAUAACGGAAAAAGGAGUUUACCAGCGGAGAAUUCAAGAAUUGGUGCAGACAGAAAGUAAUUAUACAGGAUUAUACGACACUGUAUACACCUCAACUGAAUGGAAAGGCUUAAUCAAAUAUUACUGAAUAAAAUACGAGCACUCCUGUACGAUUGAAAUAGAGAAGAAAUUGUGGAUGUAAGCUGUGUAUUUUGCAAAUUAUCUACAGAAUAAAGGUUCUGCAACAGGAGUGAAUACAACUGUGUAUAGAAAGUCUGUUUCAAGGAAAUUAAACUGUGCAAGAAUUACC